AACGAACGCUGGCGGCAUGCCUAACACAUGCAAGUCGAACGAGACCUUCGGGUCUAGUGGCGCACGGGUGCGUAACGCGUGGGAACCUGCCCUUAGGGUCGGAAUAACUCCCCGAAAGGGGUGCUAAUACCGGAUAAUGUCUACGGACCAAAGAUUUAUCGCCUUUGGAUGGGCCCGCGUUGGAUUAGCUAGUUGGUAGGGUAAAAGGCUACCAAGGCGACGAUCCAUAGCUGGUCUGAGAGGAUGAUCAGCCACACUGGGACUGAGACACGGCCCAGACUCCUACGGGAUGCAGCAGUGGGGAAUAUUGGACAAUGGGCGAAAGCCUGAUCCAGCAAUGCCGCGUGAGUGAUGAAGGCCUUAGGGUUGUAAAGCUCUUUUACCCGGGAUGAUAAUGACAGUACCGGGAGAAUAAGCUCCGGCUAACUCCGUG
rnacentral:rRNA from 1 species